rnacentral:misc_RNA from 1 species
AAUCAUCAACCUCAUAGCUUUAUUGUUAUGAGGCUUGGACUUGGGAGUUGCUGGCGGUUUACUGUCAACUCUCCUUGAAUUCAUUAGCUAGACUUUCCGUGAGUUGGCUUUAUGGUGUGAUAAUUAUCUACGCCUGACUGCUACUUGCAAUGGAACUGGCUUCUAAUCGUCUUCGGACAAUAUUUUAAG